UACGGGGGGGGCGAGCGUUGUUCGGAAUCACUGGGCGUAAAGGGCGCGUAGGCGGCGCGGUAAGUCACUUGUGAAAUCUCUGAGCUUAACUCAGAACGGCCAAGUGAUACUGCAGUGCUAGAGUGUGGAAGGGGCAAUCGGAAUUCUUGGUGUAGCGGUGAAAUGCGUAGAUAUCAAGAGGAACACCUGAGGUGAAGACGGGUUGCUGGGCCAACACGUGACGCUGAGGCGCGAAAGCCAGGGGAGCAAACGGG
rnacentral:rRNA from 1 species